rnacentral:rRNA from 1 species
UUCGUAGGGUGCAAGCGUUAAUCGGAAUUACUGGGCGUAAAGCGUGCGCAGGCGGUUAUGCAAGACAGAUGUGAAAUCCCCGGGCUCAACCUGGGAACUGCAUUUGUGACUGCAUGGCUAGAGUACGGUAGAGGGGGAUGGAAUUCCGCGUGUAGCAGUGAAAUGCGUAGAUAUGCGGAGGAACACCGAUGGCGAAGGCAAUCCCCUGGACCUGUACUGACGCUCAUGCACGAAAGCGUGGGGAGCAUACAGG